GACGGAGGGCGCGAGCGUUGUUCGGAAUUACUGGGCGUAAAGCGCGCGCAGGCGGGUCUGUAAGUCGGGAGUGAAAGACCGGGGCUCAACCCCGGGGCGGCUACCGAGACUGCGGACCUGGGGACCGGUAGAGGCGGGUGGAAUUCCCGGUGUAGCGGUGGAAUGCGUAGAGAUCGGGAAGAACACCGGUGGCGAAGGCGGCCCGCUGGGCCGGGUCCGACGCUGAGGCGCGAAAGCGUGGGGAGCAAACAGGAUUAGAAACCCCUGUAGUCC
rnacentral:rRNA from 1 species